AACGAACGCUGGCGGCAUGCCUAACACAUGCAAGUCGAACGAGACCUUCGGGUCUAGUGGCGCACGGGUGCGUAACGCGUGGGAACCUGCCCUUAGGUUCGGAAUAACUCCCCGAAAGGGGUGCUAAUACCAGAUAAUGUCUUCGGACCAAAGAUUUAUCGCCUUUGGAUGGGCCCGCGUUGGAUUAGCUAGUUGGUAGGGUAAAAGCCUACCAAGGCGACGAUCCAUAGCUGGUCUGAGAGGAUGAUCAGCCACACUGGGACUGAGACACGGCCCAGACUCCUACGGGAGGCAGCAGUGGGGAAUAUUGGAAAAUGGGCGAAAGCAUGAUCCAGCAAUGCCGCGUGAGUGAUGAAGGCCUUAGGGUUGUAAAGCUCUUUUACCCGGGAUGAUAAUGACAGUACCGGGAGAAUAAGCUCCGGCUAACUCCGUG
rnacentral:rRNA from 1 species